rnacentral:rRNA from 1 species
GAUGAACGCUAGCUACAGGCUUAACACAUGCAAGUCGAGGGGAAACGGCAUUGAGUGCUUGCACUCUUUGGACGUCGACCGGCGCACGGGUGAGUAACGCGUAUCCAACCUUCCCAUUACUGUGGGAUAACCUGCCGAAAGGCAGACUAAUACCGCAUGGUCUUCGAUGACGGCAUCAGAUUUGAAGUAAAGAUUUAUCGGUAAUGGAUGGGGAUGCGUCUGAUUAGCUUGUUGGCGGGGUAACGGCCCACCAAGGCAACGAUCAGUAGGGGUUCUGAGAGGAAGGUCCCCCACAUUGGAACUGAGACACGGUCCAAACUCCUACGGGAGGCAGCAGUGAGGAAUAUUGGUCAAUGGACGGAAGUCUGAACCAGCCAAGUAGCGUGCAGGAUGACGGCCCUAUGGGUUGUAAACUGCUUUUGUAUGGGGAUAAAGUUAGGGACGUGUCCCUAUUUGCAGGUACCAUACGAAUAAGGACCGGCUAAUUCCGUGCCAGCAGCCGCGGUAAUACGGAAGGUCCAGGCGCUAUCCGGAUUUAUUGGGUUUAAAGGGAGCGUAGGCUGGAGAUUAAGUGUGUUGUGAAAUGUAGACGCUCAACGUCUGAAUUGCAGCGCAUACUGGUUUCCUUGAGUACGCACAACGUUGGCGGAAUUCGUCGUGUAGCGGUGAAAUGCUUAGAUAUGACGAAGAACUCCGAUUGCGAAGGCAGCUGACGGGAGCGCAACUGACGCUUAAGCUCGAAGGUGCGGGUAUCAAACAGG